rnacentral:rRNA from 1 species
UACAGAGGUGGCAAGCGUUGUUCGGAAUUACUGGGCGUAAAGGGCGCGUAGGCGGCCUUCUAAGUCGGACGUGAAAGCCCCAGGCUCAACCUGGGAACUGCGUCCGAUACUGGAAGGCUUGGAUUCGGGAGAGGGAUGUGGAAGUCCAGGUGUAGCGGUGAAAUGCGUAGAUAUCUGGAGGAACACCGGUGGCGAAGGCGGCAUCCUGGACCGACAUCGACGCUGAGGCGCGAAAGCUAGGGGAGCAAACGGG